rnacentral:rRNA from 1 species
UACGUAGGGUGCAGGCGUUAAUCGGAAUUACUGGGCGUAAAGCGUGCGCAGGCGGUUUGCUAAGAGAGAUGUGAAAUCCCCGGGCUUAACCUGGGAACUGCGUUUCUAACUGGCAGGCUUGAGUGUGGCAGAGGGGGGUGGAAUUCCACGUGUAGCAGUGAAAUGCGUAGAGAUGUGGAGGAACACCUGUGGCGAAAGCGGCGCACUGGACCACAACUGACGCUGAGGCGCGAAAGCUAGGGGAGCAAACAGG